GGGAUGUAUAGAAGUUCAUCUUAGAGCAGGACAGCAUGAUUCGUGGAUUUGAGUCCUGAAAUGUUACCAGGUUCUUUGUGGCGUAUUCCUCUAACCAUUGUUGUUCUCCAGCUUUGUCCUGUCACUUGAUCUCGUAAAACAUUCCUUUUUGCCACUGCUUUUAACUGAAGCAAUUCAAGUCUUUCAACUGCAUUAUGACUCUGACUCUACAGUCUUGCUGCUUUUAAAGCUUUUCUAUUCUAGCCUACUUGUUUUGAUGUUUGUUUCUGAAUGUUUUUACUGGUUUUAAAAUGCUAUUUUAAUGUUUUUAAUGCAGUUUUUAAUGUCCUUUAAAUGAAUUUUUUAUGUCUUUUAAUGAAAUUGCCUGUAUAUUGAAUGAAUAUUAUUAAUAUUAAUAUUAAUUUUGAACUGAAUAUUGCCUGUGUGCCUGUAAAGCACUUUGAGUUUCCUUGUGUCUGGAUUGUGCUAUACGAAUAAACUUUGCCCUGCCUUGCCUCUCUCACAGGUGCAUCUCAUUACCUAUCAACCCGGUACAUAAGCUCCAGCCUCACAGACACUCAUUGCCUGAUUGUUAAUAAACUACUGUGCAAGACUCUCCAGCACAUCUAGGUGGGCUAAUGUCCUGUUGAACCCGUCCUGCCUGUCCCCCGGUGAACUCACAUGCCUUCUGCUCUGAGUUUCUCUGCAGCCUCUCUGGACUCUGUUCUGCCUGUGACUCGAGACACUCACCACAUUGCCAUGUUUGCUUUUGUGUGUGUACCAAUGUGUUUUGGACUGUGUCUUCUACAUGCAGCCAGAUUCCACCUGCUCUGUCAGAGAGCUUCCUGAGAGACAUUACUGUGGUCACACUCGCCUUGUACUACUUCUGCAGAGUUUGAUCAUUAAAGCUGUUUAUUAACUAUU